ACCCGCUGAAUUUAAGCAUAUCAAUAAGCGGAGGAAAAGAAACUAACAAGGAUUCCCCUAGUAACGGCGAGUGAAGCGGGAAGAGCUCAAAUUUAAAAUCUGGCAGCAUUAGUUGUCCGAGUUGUAGUCUAGAGAAGCAUCAUCCGCGCCGGACCAUGUACAAGUCUCUUGGAACAGAGCGUCAUAGAGGGUGAGAAUCCCGUCCUUGACAUGGACUCCCGGUGCUUUGUGUUGUGCUCUCAACGAGUCGAGUUGUUUGGGAAUGCAGCUCAAAAUGGGUGGUAAAUUCCAUCUAAAGCUAAAUAUUGGCGAGAGACCGAUAGCGAACAAGUACCGUGAGGGAAAGAUGAAAAGCACUUUGGAGAGAGAGUUAAACAGUACGUGAAAUUGUUGAAAUGGAAACGCUUGAAGUCAGUCGCGUUCUCUGGGAUUCAGCCUUGCUUCUGCUUGGUGCAUUUCCUAGUCUACGGGCCAGCAUGAAUUUUGACCGGUGCAAAAGGAUUUGGGGAAUGUGGCACCUUCGGGUGUGUUAUAGCCCCUUGUCGCAUACGCCGGUUGGGAUUGAGGUCUUAGUGCACGCUUCGGUUGUGCUUUGAUGCUGGCGUAAUGGCUUUAAACGACCCGUCUUGAAACACGGACCAAGGAG
rnacentral:rRNA from 1 species